UUCCGGUUGAUCCUGCCGGACCUGACUGCUAUUGGAUUGAUAUUAAGCCAUGCGAGUCAUUGUAGCAAUACAAGGCAUACUGCUCAGUAACACGUAGUUAAUCUACCCUGUGGACGAGGAUAACCUCGGGAAACUGAGAAUAAUACUCGAUAGAUCAUUAUGCUUGGAAUAGUUUGUGAUUUAAAUGAUUUCGCCAUAGGAUGAGACUGCGGCCUAUCAGCUAGUUGGUGUGGUAAUGGCUCACCAAGGCUAUAACAGGUACGGGCUCUGAGAGGAGAAGCCCGGAGAUGGGUACUGAGACACUGACCCAGGCCCUAUGGGGCGCAGCAGGCGGGAAAACUUUGCAAUGUGCGAAAGCACGACAAGGUUAAUCCAAGUGAUUUCUGCUAAAGAAAUCUUUUGUUAGUUUUAAAAACACUGAUGAAUAAGGGGUGGGCAAGUUCUGGUGUCAGCCGCCGCGGUAAAACCAGCACCUCAAGUGGUCAGGAUGAUUAUUGGGCCUAAAGCAUCCGUAGCCGGUUGUGUAAGUUUUCGGUUAAAUCCAUGUGCUUAACAUAUGGGCAGCUGGAAAUACUAUACGACUAGAAAGUGGGAGAGGUAGACGGUACUCGAUAGGAAGGGGUAAAAUCCUUUGAUCUAUUGAUGACCACCAGUGGCGAAGGCGGUCUACCAGAACACGUUCGACGGUGAGGGAUGAAGGCUGGGGGAGCAAACCGGAUUAGAUACCCGGGUAGUCCCAGCUGUAAACAAUGCAAACUCAGUGAUGCGCUGGAUUGUGUCCAGCGCAGUGCCGCAGGGAAGCCGUUAAGUUUGCCGCCUGGGAAGUACGUACGCAAGUAUGAAACUUAAAGGAAUUGGCGGGGGAGCACCACAAGGGGUGAAGCCUGCGGUUCAAUUGGAGUCAACGCCG
rnacentral:rRNA from 1 species